AGUGAACGCUGGCGGUAGGCCUAACACAUGCAAGUCGAACGGCAGCACAGUAAGAGCUUGCUCUUACGGGUGGCGAGUGGCGGACGGGUGAGGAAUACAUCGGAAUCUACUUUUUCGUGGGGGAUAACGUAGGGAAACUUACGCUAAUACCGCAUACGACCUACGGGUGAAAGCAGGGGAUCUUCGGACCUUGCGCGAUUGAAUGAGCCGAUGUCGGAUUAGCUAGUUGGCGGGGUAAAGGCCCACCAAGGCGACGAUCCGUAGCUGGUCUGAGAGGAUGAUCAGCCACACUGGAACUGAGACACGGUCCAGAGUCCUAAGGGAGGCAGCAGUGGGGAAUAUUGGACAAUGGGCGCAAGCCUGAUCCAGCCAUACCGCGUGGGUGAAGAAGGCCUUCGGGUUGUAAAGCCCUUUUGUUGGGAAAGAAAAGCAGCAGGUUAAUACCCCGCUGUUCUGACGGUACCCAAAGAAUAAGCACCGGCUAACUUCGUG
rnacentral:rRNA from 1 species